rnacentral:rRNA from 1 species
AUUGAACGCUGGCGGCAUGCCAUACACAUGCAAGUCGAACGGCAGCACGGGUGCUUGCACCUGGUGGCGAGUGGCGAACGGGUGAGUAAUACAUCGGAACGUACCUUAUCGUGGGGGAUAACGCAGCGAAAGCUGUGCUAAUACCGCAUACGCCCUGAGGGGGAAAGCGGGGGAUCGCAAGACCUCGCGCGAUUAGAGCGGCCGAUGCCUGAUUAGCUAGUUGGUGGGGUAAAAGCCCACCAAGGCGACGAUCAGUAGCUGGUCUGAGAGGACGAUCAGCCACGCUGGGACUGAGACACGGCCCAGACUCCUACGGGAGGCAGCAGUGGGGAAUUUUGGACAAUGGGGGCAACCCUGAUCCAGCAAUGCCGCGUGAGUGAAGAAGGCCUUCGGGUUGUAAAGCUCUUUUGUCAGGGAAGAAACACCGGCUCUAACACAGUCCGGGAAUGACGGUACCUGAAGAAUAAGCACCGGCUAACUACGUGCCAGCAGCCGCCGUAA